CAUACCGCAUGCAGUAUGAGGGCCCUCUGGGUUGUAAACUGCUUUUAUACGGGAAGAAACGCCGCCUCUUUAACUCACUUGACGGUACCGUACGAAUAAGGACCGGCUAACUCCGUGCCAGCAGCCGCGGUAAUACGGAGGAUGCAAGCGUUAUCCGGAUUCAUUGGGUUUAAAGGGUCCGUAGGCGGUUAAGUAAGUCAGUGGUGAAAUCUUGAUCGCUCAACUUUGAAACGGCCAUUGAUACUGUUAAACUUGAAUACUCUGGAGGUGACCGGAAUAUGACUUGUAGCGGUGAAAUGCUUAAAUAUGACAUGGAACACCAAUUGCGAAGGCAGCUUACUACCCAUUGAUUGACCCUGAGGCACGAAAGCGUGGGUAUCAAACAGGAUUAGAUACCCUGGUAGUCCACGCCCUAAACUAUGGAUACUCGAUGUUGGCGAUACACUGUUGGGGUCAGAGCAAAAGCUUUAAGUAUCCCACCGGGGAAGUACUCUCGCAAGAUUGAAACUCAAGAGGAUUUGACGGGG
rnacentral:rRNA from 1 species